rnacentral:lncRNA from 1 species
AUGUAUAUACAGAGAGUGGCUUUAACAUCAUAUUUAUUUGCCUGUGUCUCCACAGAAAGCCGUGAGACUUACCAGAGAAGGGUGCUGUCCAUCUUCAGCAUUGCCUCAGGGAUCUGUUUUCUCGGAGUGGCAUGCAUGGCUCUCUAUCGCCGCAACAAGAGACACAGGGAAAAGCUCCGGGCACACUUCUUGGAGAGCCGGAAUCUGAGGGUGUGCAGUAUCAAUGCCUCUGGGUUCAUGUCUAAAUCCAGCCCAAGGCCUCAGUGUGGCUGGCAGCUUCAAAAGGUGAGAUAAGGAACCAGCAUUUUAUUCAAUUAUUAAUGGGACUUGAGAUAAUUGAAUUUCUCUUGAGAUAAUUGAAUAUGUUGUAUUAUUAUUUGGAACACUACUCCUCUUACACCGUUAAAGCUAGAAAUGUAAUUCAUAACUUUAAAACGUGCAGACCAGUCAGGACCAGGGUACUUGUAUAAAACAUUUAUACUAUUCAAACUAUUCCAUUUUUUGUCUGUCUUUAAAAACCUCAUCCACUAAUGGGAUUAAAAGUGGACAAAUAAAAUAAUUCUGAAGGUCCCAUUGUGACAUCAUGACUUCCAACAUUCUAUUCACUGUAAAAGGUCUGAUAUUACUUUUGACACAAAUCAGCUACUUUGACCGCUUUCCCAGCAAUUUAGACAAAAACUUAGAGCAGUUUCCCAACUGG